GCCCAGGAUGCCCGAGAGGCGUUUCAAAGAUGGCCGCCGAGUGAAAUGACUUGUCUUAAAGGGACUUUGGCUCUGUCUCUAUAGAGGGUAUUCGUCGACGUCACUUUCCCGCCGAAAACGCGCUCCCUCAGCUGGACUGAGUGGCAAAAGAACCUGCUGCGUGACUGGAUUUAGUAGAGGAAACUCUUCUGACUCAUUUCAUCUGUUGAGUCCUUCGAGUUGGAUCAUGACACCCGGCCUUAGAGGGGAGAAACCAUUAAAGUCACAACACAGUCUUCAAUCUUUUACCUUCUUCACGCUACUUUGGUCUACCUGCUUUAUGUUCCCUUUGACAAAUCACUAGUCUUUGUAGCCACAUAAAUUUUUUUCUUAGCUGUUUUACAACGGAAGAGUUUCAGGCAAAACUCAACUCAGCUUUAUUCAGUGGUGUGACACAUGCAAACACACGAUGACUUCAGAAUUCACCUGUAUGUGAGAAGGUGUUGAGAUGGAGAUUAAGGUCUAUGAUAUUCUAAGCUUUUUUGUUUGAUGUGAAGCCACAGUUA